UAAUUUUGAAUGUUGCUGAUCAUCUAUUCAUUAAUCAUGAAAUCAUGAAUUGUUAUUUUGAAGAAAAAGUCUAACAAAAAAUAUCUCUUGUUCCCUAUGUAGAGAAUGAAUGCUGGGUAUUGUAGUAGUAAUGUGUGGGAUGGAGGAAGGUGUUCCUAGUGCACGCUGGGAAAUGAAUGCUUCAAUUAGGCUCCGCCUUUUCCUCUUACUUCAGGAAGAGGAGGGGAAACUAGGAAAUGGGAACUAAUACAAAUAUUCUGCUAAACUUUGGUAUUCAAGGGUACAUUUGUGAAAAGGACUGGUCGUGCUGUAAGCACAUGUCAUCCGAUCUUUGACGUUUUCCUGGUGUCAAACUACAUGUCGCUGGCUGGACCGUCAUUGAAAAGAUGCAAACAGCUAUCGACUGCUUCAGCUUGGAAGGAUUUGAUCGUGAUGCUGUCGGCUCAGAGGUGGAAUUGGAUGAUAAAAAUGGUUUGGAAGCCCUUCGCUCAGUGCUCCAGAGCAAUCUCUCAACGCCACACCCUGACCAGUGGCGCCGCUCGGAAGAAUCGAGUGAUGCUGAACUUGAGGCUUUACGAGCUGGCUUGUCUGCCCAGAGCCCGGCGCCGCAACUCAUGCCCAGCAAGAGGGACCACGUGUGCUGGGAGUGCAGCGAACGCUUCGAGACGCUGCACGACCUGAUGGAACACUUCCAGCAGCACAAGGCUUCAGGGCGCUGCCACCUGUGCCAGAUCACGUUCUGUCGCGGGGCAUCGCUGGCCAUACAUCUGGACAAUGCCCACCAAAAUGACCCCCUCGUGUGCCCCGUCAAACGCUGCAGUGCCCAGCUCCACAACACGUGGCACCUAAACAAGCACGUUGAGCUGUGCCACACAGUUAAAGGUCUGGGGGUGAAGGAGGACGAGGAGGAGGAGGAGGAGGAGGAGGAGGAGGUGAUGGAAGAACAACAGCUGCUGAGAGAAGGACAAAUGAGGCUCCCAGGAGAGCAUCUCCACGAGAGCGACCAUUCAUAUCACAGCUCUGUAAACAUCGGUAAGGUUCAUGUAGACCACACCUAUAACUGCAGGAGUGGGAAGACGUGCCCGCAGUAUGCGCUCAGCUCUGCGCCCCUGAAUGCGCGACGCACAAGGGCCCCCAGGGCCAGGGUGGGAAGGAGGUCAGUCCCGUUUGGGACCAGCCCAUUGUCUGGUAAGAGAGGCCGUUUUAGACUGCUAGAGCGCACCGACGUCAAGCCCAACGUCAAACGCAUGAGUCAAAGGAGACUCCACUCUAUUGUUGUGCCCUCAAACACAGCACAGGGGUGUGAGAACAGGAGUGUGAGUCAGGACGACAGCAUGGAGGAGAGCGCUCCCAUCCAGUGGCACGAAGACGAGGAGUUUGCUGAGGAGGAGGUUGGCGAAGGAGAUGAAUCAAGUGACACAGGAGAGGAAGACAAUGAGUCUGAGGAUGAUGGUGAGAGUGACUCCCUGCCCCCUGGGGACUCAAUAUAUGUCCCAGAGGAGUAUGUUGGUUCCCAUUCAGAUUCGGAAAUAGACUAUUUGGAUUCAGAAUCAUCCUCUUCAGACUCCAGUGACAGUAACUCGUACACCAGGGGUGGCAAGAAGAUGCCCUCUAAGGGCAGAAAGAAAGCCAACACGGGCUCUGUGGUGAAACAGGUGUCAACCAUCUACACUUCCGAAAUCUGGCAGAAAUGUCCUCACUGCGGGCUGGGCCCUUACCUUGACCUGAGGCACCACAUGGUCAAGUGCUGUAGUAAAGGUCCAGACAACUGCAUUAAAUGCUGGAGGGCAUAUGGUCGUAAUAUGGAGUUUAUCUGUGUGGACUGCAAGAAGACGUUCCCAGGCUCAGGCUCCUGCAGCGUCCAUGUCUGUCCUGUCAGGCAAUGUCAGCCUGUUCGGGCAAUGUCAUGGGCCAAGAUGUCUGCCGGGCCAAAAUCCCAUCCCAAAGACCACCCUGCGGCUCCUACAACGGUGAAAUCCGAGCCGGCGCCAGUCCCUGUCAUUACCCAGCCUCCUCAGCUUUACCAGAUUAUCACUCUGUUGCCCUCUGGUGUGAUUGCCACCCAAGCUCAGUCUACCAGCAUUACUCAGACUUCAGUUCCGUCCUCAGCCAGUACUGCUGUAUUACCCAACAACGCGGUUGUGAAAGCAAUCAGUCAGGCUAAUCCCUUGGUUGUUCAGGAUACUGGACAGAUGUCACAACUGGUUUUGCCAUCAUGUCCGCCAACCCCAUCAGGAUCGUUGCCCAUGUUGGGUAUGGUGGGAAGCUUUGUGGCGGAGAGCAAGGAAUCGGCUGGGAAUUUGGUUGUCCCGGGAAACAAUAACGUAACUCUGUAUAACCCUGGGACGUCUGCUUCGACACAGACUACAAUAGUAACUGGCAUUGAGACCACAGCCAGCACCCAGACAGCCAACCAGACAGUGCGGUCUCACAUGCUUUUGAAGCCACCUGGACUUGCCGGACUUAGUCGUUCCGUUGCCAAAUCCCCACCUGGUGUAGUACACAUCUAUACCCAGAACUCUCCUAAUACCCAGGUGUUUGUAAGCAGUCAAACCCCACCUGGCACCCCUGCAUCGUCGAUAGUUUACAGUCAAACGCCACCAGGCAUGCCUGCACCUAUGGUUGCUCACAGUCAGGUUCCCGCCCGCAUGCCUGUCUCCACAAUCGCUCACAGCCAGUCACCUUCUGACAAGUUAGUUACAGUUGUUUGCAAUCGGACCCGGAUGCCCACAUCAAUGGUUAUUCGCAGCCAGACACCUCCUGGUCUGCCAGCACCCUCAGCUAUUCGCAAUUACGCUCCGCCAGGUGUGCCCACCUCUGUUCGCACCGAAGCCCCUUCCGGCACGUCCACGCCCACUGCUGAAGUGAGGGGGACUCUGCCCUCUCUUCCCAUACUGUUUCGCAUCCCCGGCCAAGGCUCCAACAUGUUUUUCGUCCCGACGCUCAAUCAUCCCAUGGGCGCUGCAAGUCCUUCUAUGAGCCAUUUCUUUCCUGUGGCAGCCUCCGGUGGUGCGCCAGGUGCCCCAGUAGGAAUGCCAGUUCUCUCUGUGAGAGUUCCUGCCCCGCCAGGUGCGUCACCACAGGUGGCUCUCUCCAGCGGGGCUUCUUCCAAAGACUCUGGUCAUCAGGUUGCAAGUCAGGUGUCCACUACUGUGCCCUCGCAGGUCUCUACCUCUUCUGUGCUCCCAUCCCAGGCCUCUGUGUCCAACACUGUUUUCCCCCAAGUUUCUGUCUCUUCCCCUCUCCCCUCCUCACAGACCUCCUCCUCCUCCUCUGCAGCAGUUGGUGCCUCUGUACCCUUUCAAGUCCCUAAUUCUGCUUCAGUCACAACCAAGCAACCAAUUCUUUCUAGAGUUCCCACCCAUCCCCCUGCGACUGCCUCCCGGUCCAGCACAAGUUCCUCUCUGGUCCUCACGUCUGCCUCCGGUCCGCUGAGGAUCUUGUUCAUGUUCUUGAACCAGAGCAGGGAGCUGUCCCUGGCACUGCGCAUGAAAACCAGGUGGCACUACAAGGAAGUGUUCACCUGCCGCCAGUGCGGCGCCGUCUCCAGGCAGCCCUCGCUGGUCGUGCUGCACCGCUACCGUCACCGGAAGGCGCCGCGCCUCCACCGUUGCCGGUGCGGUCGCCGCUUCCAGGCACGCCUGCACCUACUCCGGCACCAGCUGCUCCACGCUGAAGCCACGCGCUACAUCUGCACACCGUGCGGGGACUCCUUUGAAGGCGCCCGGCGGCUGGUCAGGCACAAGGCGAACUGCAGCCGGACACGGAAAAUCAGCGAUCGCGUCGAUUGCUGGAGGCCCUUUGUUUGCACCUGCGGACGGAGGUUUGUCAGGCCGUCUGCCCUCCUGUGGCACAAACUGAACAAUUCCAGGCACAAAAACAGGGCUAGGAACACUAAACCGUCACAUCAGAAUCACCAUGAUGUGCAACGUGCACUGCCUGCAACUUGA
rnacentral:lncRNA from 1 species